CCUACGGGAGGCAGCAGUGAGGAAUAUUGGUCAAUGGACGCAAGUCUGAACCAGCCAUGUCGCGUGCAGGAUGACGGCUCUAUGAGUUGUAAACUGCUUUUGUACGAGGGUAAACGCAGAUACGCGUAUCUUUCUUUAAGUAUCGUAUGAAUAAGGAUCGGCUAAAUCCGUGCCAGCCGCCGCGGUAAUACGGAGGGUUCAAGCUUUAUCCGGAUUUUUUGGGUUUAAAGGGUGCGUAGGCGGUCCGGUAAGUUAGAGGUGAAAUCCCGAGGCUCAACCUCGGAAUUGCCUCUGAUACUGUGCGGCUAGAGAGUACUUGCGGUAGGCGGAAUGUAUGGUGUAGCGGUGAAAUGCUUAGAGAUCAUACAGAACACCGAUUGCGAAGGCAGCGUACCAAGCUACUACUGACGUUGAGGCACGAAAGCGUGGGGAGCAAACAGGAUUAGAUACCCCAGUAGUC
rnacentral:rRNA from 1 species